rnacentral:lncRNA from 10 species
AUGUUCUGGGACCUGAUUCAGCUACUCUUCCUAGUCCACUGUGGUCUUGUGAGGUCAGCGCUUGGUCAAGAUUAGGAGAAAAACUGCAGGGCUGCAGAGACCUCUCUGUCCAACAUCUCCCUACGUGGGCACUACUCUGCUGUGAGCUCUGGGUGGACACCAGGCAUGAUUUACAAUCCCUUUCAGGGAAUUAUUGCUGCUAAUGGGCAGAGCCAAUUUAUGCUUCCCAAGGGGGAGGGCAAAAUCAAUUAAUGGAGAGCCUGACAUGGCCAGGCCUGAUGACAGAGUGUGGCCUGACAUCCGGAGGUGAUAAGGGACUUUCUGAGGCUGAACUAAUAAGGAGAUUGGGGAAAAAGAAGAAAAACAACACCCCCUCCCCAUCUGCCCAAUCGAUUUGGUGUACAAUGGGCAGAGAAUGCAGAGUAAACAGAGCAGCUGGGCACGAGCCUCUUUCCAUCUGAACGAGCCUGGAGAUAAGGACUGGACAGGCCGCCCAUCCCACCAUCAACAUAGAACGGGAAGUAAGAAGACAAGUACACCGAGCCUAUGAUGGUCAUGUGUUCCUGUCACUCUGGACUUGUGGUUCCCAGCUCUGCUACACAACGGAAAUCUCUGGAGAAUCUCUAGACAUCCUGGUGCCCAGACCACAGCCCAGAACCAUUCAGUCAGGAUCACUGGGACAAGGAAACUGAGAAUGAGACAAGAUCACAGCAGAGGUGGGGCUGUCUCAGGCUUAAGAAAGGACCUGACAGUGUUGCUGAGGCUGCUGGUCCUGGUGGUGAAGAGAGGAUAGUAAAUAAGCAGGCUGGCGGCCAAGCAAGAAGCCUGAGCAGAGGAGACAGCUGACUUUGGGAACAGAGAACAAAGGAGCUGAAGAUCUGGAAGAGACAGAGAGCAAGCUCUGCCAAGAGGGACAGGAGCACCUGGGCCGCCCACCCACUUGGGCCUGUCUUGGUGUUUCUGAUGCUGCCCCUUGAGGCUUUCUCGAGAAGGAAUCAGAGGCUGGGCACAUGUGACUGACAGGCAGGCCAGUCCUGUGGCUUCAGGAAUAUGCAGGAAACUCCCUACUCCCCUCCCACCUCACUGUGUGCUCCCCACAAGUGUUGGUGACCUGCUGCCCAGGAGGAGCCACCGAGGGAGGUGCACUUACAUUGCUUCUGCAGAAUGCUCUGUCUGGCCUUGAUGAAGGCGAUGAUGUCCGAGUCCGUCUGGCUGUCUCCGGUGAGAGGGAUGGACGACACUGGCCUCUUGGGGAUGCUGGAGGCAACCACGUGUCACAUUUUACUACACUUUACAACUGGACUCACCACUUAUAUUUCCAAAAUGCUUUUCCAUUUUAGGUGACUGAUCUCACUCAGAAAGCUACAUGACACGGCUGGCCUGCUUCUCACUCCCUCCUACCUUCUCUGUGUGGCAGCCACACUAAGCCUCUUGUCAUGCAAAUUGGGUCAAGUCAUUCCCUGCCAUAGACCCUGAUAUGGUUUGGCUGUGUCCUCACCCAAAUCUCAUCUUGAACUGUAGCUCCCAUAAUUUCCACGUGUUGUGGGAGGGACCAGGUGGGAGAUAACUGAAUCAUGGGGACGGUUUCCUCCAUACUGUUCUCGUGGUAGUGAAUAAGUCUCAUGAGAUCUGAUGUUUUCAUACGAGGUUUCCCCUCUCACUUGGCUUUCAUUCUGUCUUGGCUGCCACCAUGUAAGACGUGCCUUUCACCAUGAUUGUGAGGCCUCCCCAGUGACAUGAACUGUGAGUCCAUUAAAUCUCUUUUUCUUUAUAAAUUACCCAGUCUCAGGUAUGUCUUUAUCAGAAGUGUGAAAACAGACUAAUACAGACCCUUUAGUGGCUUUUCACCACUCAUGGAAUAAAACUUAAACUCUGUCCCAUGACCUACCAGGCUGUGUAUGAUAUGACCCCGG